UACGAAGGGGGCUAGCGUUGCUCGGAAUCACUGGGCGUAAAGCGCACGUAGGCGGACUCUUAAGUCGGUGGUGAAAUCCUGGAGCUCAACUCCAGAACUGCCUUCGAUACUGAGAGUCUCGAGUCCGGGAGAGGUGAGUGGAACUGCGAGUGUAGAGGUGAAAUUCGUAGAUAUUCGCAAGAACACCAGUGGCGAAGGCGGCUCACUGGCCCGGUACUGACGCUGAGGUGCGAAAGCGUGGGGAGCAAGCAGG
rnacentral:rRNA from 1 species